rnacentral:lncRNA from 1 species
AGUUCUGGGAGGAAGAAAAAUGUCGAGGUCUGGUGCUUCGCUAAAAACGCCGUCGGGAACCAGGUGUCGCCGUGUAAAUUCACCGUCUAUACGCAAGGGCGCCCAGGUCCCGUCAGCGAGUGCAGCGUGAGCAAUCACACCGCGUGGGGCUUCGAGGUGCGGUGUCUCUCCGGCCCCUUGAGGAGCAUGAACACAGAAUACACGCUCCUCGUCUACGCUCAAAAACAGGACAGGGCUUCAGGAGCAGGUGGCCAGAAGCAACAACAACAACAACAACAGCAACAACAACAACAACAACAGGAGCACGAGGUGGGAGUGCCAACCCCGACGCUUGGACAGCUGGUUCGCAACCUCACCACCAGUUCCCCUCU